UACGGGGGGGGGCAAGCGUUGUUCGGAAUUACUGGGCGUAAAGGGCUCGUAGGUGGCCAACUAAGUCGGACGUGAAAUCCCUUGGCUUAACCGGGGAACUGCGUCCGAUACUGGUUGGCUUGAGUUUGGGAGAGGGAUGCGGAAUUCCAGGUGUAGCGGUGAAAUGCGUUGAUAUCGAUAGGAACUCCGGUGGCGAAGGCGGCAUACUGGAUCACUUCUGACGCUGAGGCGCGAAAGCCAGGGGAGCAAACGGG
rnacentral:rRNA from 1 species